CCUUAGAGUUUGAUCCUGGCUCAGGAUGAACGCUAGCUACAGGCUUAACACAUGCAAGUCGAGGGGAAACGACAUCGAAAGCUUGCUUUUGAUGGGCGUCGACCGGCGCACGGGUGAGUAACGCGUAUCCAACCUGCCCACCACUUGGGGAUAACCUUGCGAAAGUAAGACUAAUACCCAAUGAUAUCUCUAGAAGACAUCUGAAAGAGAUUAAAGAUUUAUCGGUGAUGGAUGGGGAUGCGUCUGAUUAGCUUGUUGGCGGGGUAACGGCCCACCAAGGCUACGAUCAGUAGGGGUUCUGAGAGGAAGGUCCCCCACAUUGGAACUGAGACACGGUCCAAACUCCUACGGGAGGCAGCAGUGAGGAAUAUUGGUCAAUGGACGAGAGUCUGAACCAGCCAAGUAGCGUGCAGGAUGACGGCCCUAUGGGUUGUAAACUGCUUUUAUAAGGGAAUAAAGUGAGUCUCGUGAGACUUUUUGCAUGUACCUUAUGAAUAAGGACCGGCUAAUUCCGUGCCAGCAGCCGCGGUAAUACGGAAGGUCCGGGCGUUAUCCGGAUUUAUUGGGUUUAAAGGGAGCGUAGGCCGUUUGUUAAGCGUGUUGUGAAAUGUCGGGGCUCAACCUGGGCAUUGCAGCGCGAACUGGCAGACUUGAGUGCGCGGGAAGUAGGCGGAAUUCGUCGUGUAGCGGUGAAAUGCUUAGAUAUGACGAAGAACUCCGAUUGCGAAGGCAGCCUGCUGUAGCGUAACUGACGCUGAAGCUCGAAAGCGUGGGUAUCGAACAGGAUUAGAUACCCUGGUAGUCCACGCGGUAAACGAUGGAUGCUCGCUGUUUGCGUCUGACGUAAGCGGCCAAGCGAAAGCGUUAAGCAUCCCACCUGGGGAGUACGCCGGCAACG
rnacentral:rRNA from 1 species